GUUUCAUCUGUGAAACACACACACAAUUCAGGUAGAAUAUUAAUGACUGACAGUCAUUCACUUCCAUUGCAUCUUAUGCCAUUCAAUGAAAGCUGAAUGGAGACUGGGACUGUCAUUCUGCCUGUCAUCUCAUGUCGUGUUUCACAGCAAAAAGAAACUCAUACAGGUUUCCAACAAAAUGAGGGCGAGUCAAUAAUGACGACAUUUAAUUUUUUUGUGCCAUCCUACUGAAAUACAGGCGCGCGCGAUCGCUCAGGUGCUUCCUGGUGCUUUAUUGCGGGAUCACAGGCAGGGGAACCGAAACGCUCAGCAGCGCUUCCAGGAAGCGUCGCCGGGGAGCACGCGCGUCGACAGACCGAGGAAUGCAGCAGGGUCUGCGACUCUCCAUCAGGUAGCCGCGAAACUAGAAGGUUCGCAGGCAGCGCGCGUGGCUCGGAGUGCGCGACGGUGUUUUUAUUUUCCCGCCGUCGGCGCGAGCUGCUGCUGACGCGAUGCUUUAGCCAUGGACAGCAGGAUAAACGAGAAUCCUGCGAGAACGUUUGAUUUGGCACUUCAGGUUGCAUGUCCAUCAUCUGAACAUGACGAUCCGACAGUGCUGUGGAAGUUCCCUCAGGACUUUGGAGACCAGGUUGGAGACAGAGGAACUUUUUUUUUCUCUCUCCAUACACCCUAUUCCCCCCACCAUCACUCCACCAGCACCACAUUCAUGACCCCUCCUGGUCCUAAAGGCUUCCCUCCUUCCUCUCUUCCUUCAUUUU
rnacentral:lncRNA from 1 species